rnacentral:rRNA from 1 species
CCUACGGGAGGCAGCAGUGAGGAAUAUUGGUCAAUGGGCGCAAGCCUGACCCAGCAACGCCGCGUGAAGGAUGACGGCCCUCUGGUUUUUAAACUCCUUUUACAGGGGAGCACAGGCCACUGUACCUGUGGAAUAAGCCUCGGCUAACUACGUGCCAGCGGCCGCUGCAAUACGUAGGGCGCAGGCGUUCUGCGGAUUUACUGGGUGUAAAGGGCGUUUAGGCGGGAUGAAAAGUGAGCUGGGAAAUCCGGGGGCUCAAACCCCGAACUGCAGUUGAAACUGGGGGUCUUGAGUAUGGGAGAGGCAGGCGGAAUGCGUGGUGUAGCGGUGAAAUGCGUAGAUAUGAGGAAGAACACCAGUGGCGAAGGCAGCAUGCUGGAGGACAACUGACGGUGAGGCGCGAAAGCGUGGGGAGCGAACAGGAUUAGAUACCCGGGUAGUC